AAGAUCUAAACAUUAUUUUUUAAAACAUUCAAAUCUGAAGACUGAGCUUUCAGUGCUGUAGGGUUUUUUUUUGUUGUUGUUGUUUGUUUGUUUUGAAACAGGGUCUCACUGUGUUGCCCAGGCUGGAGUGCAUUGGUGCGAUCAGAACUCACUGCAGCCUCAAAUUCCUGGGCUCAAGUGAUCCUCCCUUCUUGGCCUCCCAAAGUGCAUGGAUUAUAAGCAUCAGCUACUGUAUCUGGCCUCAAAGCUUUGCUCUAUUUUGAGAGUAAAAAGUACUUGGCAUCUAAAAAUACAUUAUUAUUUGACCCUAAAUGGAAAGACUUGACAUUGUAAUUGAAACUGGUUUAAUAUAUUAGCAAGGAGUUGUGCACAUAGUAUGGUAGGACUGAUAGGAAGGAAAAACAGCCGUCCUGUCCUAGGUGCCCUCAUGGUGCUGGGAUAGCUGAGACAGAGCUGCCGACAUCAGGCCGGCGUGAUGCCGAUUUUCAAAUUUUCAAAGGACACACUGUCGCUAAUAGAAAUAUUUUCUUUUGUUCAGAUGCCCAGGGCCAAGGGACUCAUGAGUAUCUGGUCAGGUUGUUCUCAGAGUGCCUGAGAUAUAGCAGUUCAGAAGUGGAGCUAUCACGUAGGUCGGUUCGCUGGGCUCUACGUCUGUGACUGUAGCUGGAUCAAUUCAGCUAUGUUUGCUCCUCUUUCUGUAGCAAUAUGUAGAGGGGGUGUUGGUUGAUGGAUUGAUGA
rnacentral:lncRNA from 1 species